rnacentral:rRNA from 1 species
AAACUUUUAACAACGGAUCUCUUGGCUCUCGCAUCGAUGAAGAACGCAGCGAAAUGCGAUAAGUAAUGUGAAUUGCAGAAUUCAGUGAAUCAUCGAAUCUUUGAACGCACCUUGCGCCCUUUGGUAUUCCGAAGGGCAUGCCUGUUUGAGUGUCAUGAAAC